rnacentral:rRNA from 1 species
CGCGUAGGCGGACAGCCAAGUCUGUGGUGAAAUCUUUCGGCUUAACCGGAAAACUGCCGUGGAUACUGGCUGUCUUGAGGGAGGUAGGGGCCUGUGGAACUUCCGGUGGAGCGGUGAAAUGCGUUGAUAUCGGAAGGAACGCCGGUGGCGAAAGCGGCGGGCUGGAUCUCUUCUGACGCUGAGGCGCGAAAGCUAGGGGAGCAAACGGGAUUAGAUACCCCGGUAGUCCUAGCCCUAAACGAUGGGUACUAGGUAGUGGACUUGACAUGGGUUCACUGCCGAAGCAAAAGUGCUAAGUACCCCGCCUGGGGAGUAUGGUCGCAAGGCUGAA